rnacentral:sRNA from 2 species
GUUGGAAUCGUGUGCUGCAAAAUUUUAAAGUUGUAAAGUAAAACCCCCGUUCCUUACCAGUUCGGGGGUUUUACUUU